GGGGUGCCCAGGCGCGAAAACUUUACCCUGCGGGAAACCGCGAUAAGGGGACCCCGAGUGCCAGCACCUAGUGCUGGCUGUCCAGUUGUCCAAAUAACAACUGUUAGCAAGGGCCGGGCAAGACCGGUGCCAGCCGCCGCGGUAACACCGGCGGCCCGAGUGGUAGCCGCUAUUAUUGGGUUUAAAGGGUCCGUAGCCGGCUUAUUAAGUCUUUUGGGAAAUCUGGCGGCUCAAUCGUCAGGCGUCCAAAAGAUACUGGUAGGCUUGGGACCGGGAGAGGUGGGAGGUACUCCAGGGGUAGGGGUGAAAUCUCGUAAUCCCUGGGGGACCACCGAUGGCGAAGGCAUCCCACCAGAACGGGUCCGACGGUGAGGGACGAAAGCUGGGGGCACGAACCGGAUUAGAUACCCGGGUAGUCCCAGCUGUAAACGAUGCUCGCUAGGUGUCAGGUGCGGUGCGACCGCAUCUGGUGCCGCAGUGAAAACUUGAAGCGAGUCACCUGGGAAGUACGGUCGCAAGGCUGAAACUUAAAGGAAUUGGCGGGGGAGCAC
rnacentral:rRNA from 1 species